rnacentral:rRNA from 1 species
AGAUUGAACGCUAGCGGCAUGCCUAACACAUGCAAGUCGAACGGUAACAGGCCCUUCGGGGUGCUGACGAGUGGCGGACGGGUGAGUAAUGCGUAGGAAUCUACCCACGAGUGGGGGAUAGCCCGGAGAAAUCCGGAUUAAUACCGCAUACGCCCUACGGGGAAAGGACGGGGAGUCGAAGAACCUCGCGCCGGUGGAUGAGCCGAAGUCGGAGUUAGCUAGUUGGUAGGGUAACGGGCCUACCAAGGCGACGAUCGGUAGCUGGUCUGAGAGGACGACCAGCCACACUGGGACUGAGACACGGCCCAGACUCCUACGGGAGGCAGC